rnacentral:rRNA from 1 species
UUGAAGUGUGGACGCCAGUCUGCAUGGAGCCGACCUUGAAAUACCACCCUUUAAUGUUUGAUGUUCUAACGUUGACCCGUGAUCCGGGUUGCGGACAGUGUCUGGUGGGUAGUUUGACUGGGGCGGUCUCCUCCUAAAGAGUAACGGAGGAGCACGAAGGUUGGCUAAUCCUGGUCGGACAUCAGGAGGUUAGUGCAAUGGCAUAAGCCAGCUUGACUGCGAGCGUGACGGCGCGAGCAGGUGCGAAAGCAGGUCAUAGUGAUCCGGUGGUUCUGAAUGGAAGGGCCAUCGCUCAACGGAUAAAAGGUACUCCGGGGAUAACAGGCUGAUACCGCCCAAGAGUUCAUAUCGACGGCGGUGUUUGGCACCUCGAUGUCGGCUCAUCACAUCCUGGGGCUGAAGUAGGUCCCAAGGGUAUGGCUGUUCGCCAUUUAAAGUGGUACGCGAGCUGGGUUUAGAACGUCGUGAGACAGUUCGGUCCCUAUCUGCCGUGGGCGCUGGAGAACUGAGGGGGGCUGCUCCUAGUACGAGAGGACCGGAGUGGACGCAUCACUGGUGUUCGGGUUGUCAUGCCAAUGGCACUGCCCGGUAGCUAAAUGCGGAAGAGAUAAGUGCUGAAAGCAUCUAAGCACGAAACUUGCCCCGAGAUGAGUUCUCCCUGACUCCUUGAGAGUCCUGAAGGAACGUUGAAG